rnacentral:rRNA from 1 species
GGUUAAGCGACUAAGCGUACACGGUGGAUGCCCUGGCAGUCAGAGGCGAUGAAGGACGUGCUAAUCUGCGAUAAGCGUCGGUAAGGUGAUAUGAACCGUUAUAACCGGCGAUUUCCGAAUGGGGAAACCCAGUGUGUUUCGACACACUAUCAUUAACUGAAUCCAUAGGUUAAUGAGGCGAACCGGGGGAACUGAAACAUCUAAGUACCCCGAGGAAAAGAAAUCAACCGAGAUUCCCCCAGUAGCGGCGAGCGAACGGGGAGCAGCCCAGAGCCUGAAUCAGUGUGUGUGUUAGUGGAAGCGUCUGGAAAGGCGCGCGAUACAGGGUGACAGCCCCGUACACAAAAAUGCACAUGCUGUGAGCUCGAUGAGUAGGGCGGGACACGUGGUAUCCUGUCUGAAUAUGGGGGGACCAUCCUCCAAGGCUAAAUACUCCUGACUGACCGAUAGUGAACCAGUACCGUGAGGGAAAGGCGAAAAGAACCCCGGCGAGGGGAGUGAAAAAGAACCUGAAACCGUGUACGUACAAGCAGUGGGAGCACGCUUAGGCGUGUGACUGCGUACCUUUUGUAUAAUGGGUCAGCGACUUAUAUUCUGUAGCAAGGUUAACCGAAUAGGGGAGCCGAAGGGAAACCGAGUCUUAACUGGGCGUUAAGUUGCAGGGUAUAGACCCGAAACCCGGUGAUCUAGCCAUGGGCAGGUUGAAGGUUGGGUAACACUAACUGGAGGACCGAACCGACUAAUGUUGAAAAAUUAGCGGAUGACUUGUGGCUGGGGGUGAAAGGCCAAUCAAACCGGGAGAUAGCUGGUUCUCCCCGAAAGCUAUUUAGGUAGCGCCUCGUGAAUUCAUCUCCGGGGGUAGAGCACUGUUUCGGCAACAACCCGAUGCAAACUGCGAAUACCGGAGAAUGUUAUCACGGGAGACACACGGCGGGUGCUAACGUCCGUCGUGAAGAGGGAAACAACCCAGACCGCCAGCUAAGGUCCCAAAGUCAUGGUUAAGUGGGAAACGAUGUGGGAAGGCCCAGACAGCCAGGAUGUUGGCUUAGAAGCAGCCAUCAUUUAAAGAAAGCGUAAUAGCUCACUGGUCGAGUCGGCCUGCGCGGAAGAUGUAACGGGGCUAAACCAUGCACCGAAGCUGCGGCAGCGACGCUUAUGCGUUGUUGGGUAGGGGAGCGUUCUGUAAGCCUGCGAAGGUGUGCUGUGAGGCAUGCUGGAGGUAUCAGAAGUGCGAAUGCUGACAUAAGUAACGAUAAAGCGGGUGAAAAGCCCGCUCGCCGGAAGACCAAGGGUUCCUGUCCAACGUUAAUCGGGGCAGGGUGAGUCGACCCCUAAGGCGAGGCCGAAAGGCGUAGUCGAUGGGAAACAGGUUAAUAUUCCUGUACUUGGUGUUACUGCGAAGGGGGGACGGAGAAGGCUAUGUUGGCCGGGCGACGGUUGUCCCGGUUUAAGCGUGUAGGCUGGUUUUCCAGGCAAAUCCGGAAAAUCAAGGCUGAGGCGUGAUGACGAGGCACUACGGUGCUGAAGCAACAAAUGCCCUGCUUCCAGGAAAAGCCUCUAAGCAUCAGGUAACAUCAAAUCGUACCCCAAACCGACACAGGUGGUCAGGUAGAGAAUACCAAGGCGCUUGAGAGAACUCGGGUGAAGGAACUAGGCAAAAUGGUGCCGUAACUUCGGGAGAAGGCACGCUGAUAUGUAGGUGAGGUCCCUCGCGGAUGGAGCUGAAAUCAGUCGAAGAUACCAGCUGGCUGCAACUGUUUAUUAAAAACACAGCACUGUGCAAACACGAAAGUGGACGUAUACGGUGUGACGCCUGCCCGGUGCCGGAAGGUUAAUUGAUGGGGUUAGCGCAAGCGAAGCUCUUGAUCGAAGCCCCGGUAAACGGCGGCCGUAACUAUAACGGUCCUAAGGUAGCGAAAUUCCUUGUCGGGUAAGUUCCGACCUGCACGAAUGGCGUAAUGAUGGCCAGGCUGUCUCCACCCGAGACUCAGUGAAAUUGAACUCGCUGUGAAGAUGCAGUGUACCCGCGGCAAGACGGAAAGACCCCGUGAACCUUUACUAUAGCUUGACACUGAACAUUGAGCCUUGAUGGAAGUGUGGACGCCAGUCUGCAUGGCUUUAAUGUUUGAUGUUCUAACGUUGACCCGUAAUCCGGGUUGCGGACAGUGUCUGGUGGGUAGUUUGACUGGGGCGGUCUCCUCCUAAAGAGUAACGGAGGAGCACGAAGGUUGGCUAAUCCUGGUCGGACAUCAGGAGGUUAGUGCAAUGGCAUAAGCCAGCUUGACUGCGAGCGUGACGGCGCGAGCAGGUGCGAAAGCAGGUCAUAGUGAUCCGGUGGUUCUGAAUGGAAGGGCCAUCGCUCAACGGAUAAAAGGUACUCCGGGGAUAACAGGCUGAUACCGCCCAAGAGUUCAUAUCGACGGCGGUGUUUGGCACCUCGAUGUCGGCUCAUCACAUCCUGGGGCUGAAGUAGGUCCCAAGGGUAUGGCUGUUCGCCAUUUAAAGUGGUACGCGAGCUGGGUUUAGAACGUCGUGAGACAGUUCGGUCCCUAUCUGCCGUGGGCGCUGGAGAACUGAGGGGGGCUGCUCCUAGUACGAGAGGACCGGAGUGGACGCAUCACUGGUGUUCGGGUUGUCAUGCCAAUGGCACUGCCCGGUAGCUAAAUGCGGAAGAGAUAAGUGCUGAAAGCAUCUAAGCACGAAACUUGCCCCGAGAUGAGUUCUCCCUGACCCUUUAAGGGUCCUGAAGGAACGUUGAAGACGACGACGUUGAUAGGCCGGGUGUGUAAGCGCAGCGAUGCGUUGAGCUAACCGGUACUAAUGAACCGUGAGGCUUAACCU